CCCAUUACUACACCUACAGGUCUUAACACUAGGUACGUCGCCCCUCCUUCCCUCCCAUUACUACACCUACAGGUCAUAACACUAGGUACGUCGCCCCUCCUUCCCUCCCAUUACUACACCUACAGGUCAUAACACUAUGUACGUCGCCCCUCCUUCCCUCCCGUUACUACACCUACAGGUCUUAACACUAGGUACGUCGCCCCUCCUUCCCUCCCGUUACUACACCUACAGGUCAUAACACUAGGUACGUCACCCCUCCUUCCCUCCCAUUACUACACCUACAGGUCAUAACACUAGGUACGUCGCCCCUCCUUCCCUCCCAUU
ensembl:lncRNA